rnacentral:rRNA from 1 species
AGAGUUUGAUCCUGGCUCAGAACGAACGUUAGCGGCGCGCCUAACACAUGCAAGUCGAGCGAGAAAGGGGCAACCCUAGUAAAGCGGCGCACGGGUGAGUAACACGUAGGUAAUCUACCUUCUGGUGGUGGAUAACCUUCCGAAAGGAGGGCUAAUACAGCAUGAGACCACGGCUUCGCGAGGAGCAGGGGUCAAAGUCGGCCACUACAUGUAAGCUGACGCCAGAAGAUGAGCCUGCGGCCCAUCAGCUAGUUGGUAGGGUAACGGCCUACCAAGGCGAAGACGGGUAGCUGGUCUGAGAGGAUGAUCAGCCACACUGGAACUGAGACACGGUCCAAACUCCUACGGGAGGCAGCAGUGGGGAAUCUUGCGCAAUGGGCGAAAGCCUGACGCAGCGACGCCGCGUGAGUGAUGAAGGCCUUCGGGUUGUAAAGCUCUGUGGAGGGGGACGAAUAAGUCGUGGCUAACAUCCACGAUGAUGACGGUACCUCUUUAGCAAGCACCGGCUAACUCUGUGCCAGCAGCCGCGGUAAU